rnacentral:rRNA from 1 species
UGAAUACGAGAUGCUACGGCGUCGAAGCAGUCUAUGUCAUACUUCCAAGAAAAGCUUGCACUGUCAUAAACAAAUAAUGCCUGUACCAUAACCGACACAGGUGGGUAGGUAGAGUAUACUAAGGGGCGCGAGAUAACUCUCUCUAAGGAACUCGGCAAAAUGACUCCGUAACUUCGGGAGAAGGAGUGCCUUAUUUAUAAGGUUGCAAUAACAAGAUCCAAGCAACUGUUUACCAAAAACACAGGUCUCCGCUAAGUCGUAAGACGAUGUAUGGGGGCUGACGCCUGCCCAGUGCCAGAAGGUUAAAGAAGUUGGUUAGCAUCCGCGAAGCUGAUAACUGAAGCCCUGGUGAACGGCGGCCGUAACGAUAACGGUCCUAAGGUAGCGAAAUUCCUUGUCGGGUAAGUUCCGACCCGCACGAAAGGCGUAAUGAUUUGGAUACUGUCUCGGAGAGGGGCUCGGUGAAAUAGACUUGUCUGUGAAGAUGCGGACUACCUGCACCAGGACAGAAAGACCCUAUGAAGCUUUACUGUAACCUGAAAUUGAAAUUGGACUUUACUUGCGCAGUAUAGGUGGGAGGCGUUGAGAAUAUUCUUGCGGGAUUAUUGGAGCCAUCAGUGAGAUACCACUCUUGUAAUGUUAGAUUUCUAACUUUGUAUCAUUAUCUGGUCAAAGAACAGUUUCAGGCGGGCAGUUUGACUGGGGCGGUCGCCUCCUAAACGGUAACGGAGGCGCACAAAGGUUUCCUCUGAACGGGUAGAAAUCGUAUCUAGAGUGUAAAGGCAUAAGGAAGCUUGACUGUGAGACCUACAAGUCGAGCAGGGACGAAAGUCGGUCUUAGUGAUCUGACGGUGCUGAGUGGAAAGGCCGUCACUCAACGGAUAAAAGUUACUCUAAGGAUAACAGGCUGAUCUCCCCCAAGAGUUCACAUCGACGGGGAGGUUUGGCACCUCGAUGUCGGCUCAUCGCAUCCUGGGGCGGUAGUACGUCCCAAGGGUUGGGCUGUUCGCCCAUGAAAGCGGUACGCGAGCUGGGUUCAGAACGUCGUGAGACAGUUCGGUCCAUAUCCGGUGUAGGCGUUAGAAUAUUGAGAGGAGCCUUCUUUAGUACGAGAGGACCGAGAAGGACAUACCUCUGGUGUACCAGUUAUCGUGCCAACGGUAAACGCUGGGUAGCUAUGUGUGGAGUGGAUAACCGCUGAAAGCAUCUAAGUGGGAAGCCCACCUCAAGAUGAG